UACGUAGGGGGCAAGCGUUGUCCGGAAUCAUUGGCGUAAAGCGCGCGUAGGCGGCCCGGUAAGUCCGUUGUGAAAGUCAAAGGCUCAACCUUUGAAUGCCGGCGGAUACUGUCGGGCUAGAGUCCGGAAGAGGCGAGUGGAAUUCCCCGGUGUAGCGGUGAAAUGCGCAGAUAUCGGGAGGAACACCUAUGGCGAAGGCAGCUCGCUGGGACGGUACUGACGCUGAGACGCGAAAGCGUGGGGAGCGAACAG
rnacentral:rRNA from 1 species